GUGGUCCCCAACCCAGUCCUCAUAGACCACCAAUAGUCCAGAUUUUGUUAGUAUCGUCAUUUUAAUAAAAAAGGGAAAUACAUAAAUCCUAGACUGUUGGUGGUCCAUGAGCCCUGGGUUGGGGACCA